GUCGAGCGAAUCAAUAGGAGCUUGCUCCUGUUGGUUAGCGGCGGACGGGUGAGUAACACGUGGGCAACCUGCCUGUAAGACUGGGAUAACUUCGGGAAACCGGAGCUAAUACCGGAUAAUCCUUUUCCUCUCAUGAGGAAAAGCUGAAAGUCGGUUUCGGCUGACACUUACAGAUGGGCCCGCGGCGCAUUAGCUAGUUGGUGAGGUAACGGCUCACCAAGGCGACGAUGCGUAGCCGACCUGAGAGGGUGAUCGGCCACACUGGGACUGAGACACGGCCCAGACUCCUACGGGAGGCAGCAGUAGGGAAUCUUCCGCAAUGGACGAAAGUCUGACGGAGCAACGCCGCGUGAGCGAUGAAGGCCUUCGGGUCGUAAAGCUCUGUUGUUAGGGAAGAACAAGUAUCGGAGUAACUGCCGGUACCUUGACGGUACCUAACCAGAAAGCCACGGCUAACUACGUGCCAGCAGCCGCGGUAAUACGUAGGUGGCAAGCGUUGUCCGGAAUUAUUGGGCGUAAAGCGCGCGCAGGCGGUCCUUUAAGUCUGAUGUGAAAGCCCACGGCUCAACCGUGGAGGGUCAUUGGAAACUGGGGGACUUGAGUGCAGAAGAGGAAAGCGGAAUUCCACGUGUAGCGGUGAAAUGCGUAGAGAUGUGGAGGAACACCAGUGGCGAAGGCGGCUUUCUGGUCUGUAACUGACGCUGAGGCGCGAA
rnacentral:rRNA from 1 species